AAGGUUGGGAUGGAAUUGAAGAGUUGAAAAUUCGAGGUUUCCUACUCGAAGUAGGAAAGCUAAGCCUAAAAGUUUCCAUUUUGGGUUGAUCUUUCCUAAAUCGGAAUUGGCAACUAAAGUUUCUAAAGUUGGAAGUUUCUAUUCUUGGAGGUUUCCAUUUUCGUGAGUUUCUAUUCUUGGCUUUGGGCUUUUGGAUGACCCAUCUUCACUUCUUGGACCUAUGCCGCACCUAGGCCUUGUUCACAUGCAAAAAUCUGAUUAUAAACCCUAAGCCUAGUCCAUUAAGGUAGCCGCACCUAACCCUAGCCCAAUCUGAUUUCUUAGGGUUUUAGGUACCNUUUUAAUUGAUUACUUGUGAACUAGUGAGUAGUGGCUUUAAUUAAGUAUAUGCUUGUGUAAAGAUGACUCAAAUCUGUGGGGAUAACAACCUUUAACAUGUCAUGUGCAUUGGAAAUCCCUGAGGCAAACGUUGGAAGGUUUAGGUUUUGUUUUGGUUAGUUUGUUUCGUUUUGUUUUCUUUCUUUUGUUUGUUUUGCUCGAGGACUAGCAAAAGCUAAGUGUGGGGGAAUUUGAUAGGAGCAUAUUUAUGCGCCUUAGUUAGCUAGUUCUUACGCAUUUUCGUUAUGUUUUCUUCGUUAAAGUAGUCUUUUAAGCUACUUUCAUGUGUUUUCAGGUUUAAGGGACAUAUUACAUGAAAUGAUGCAAGUUGGAGCUUUUGGAGCAAAAUGUGAGCUUGGAUUGAAAAGGACAUGCUUGGAACACAAGGUUGGGAUGGAAUUGAAGAGUUGAAAAUUCGAGGUUUCCUACUCGAAGUAGGAAAGCUAAGCCUAAAAGUUUCCAUUUUGGGUUGAUCUUUCCUAAAUCGGAAUUGGCAACUAAAGUUUCUAAAGUUGGAAGUUUCUAUUCUUGGAGGUUUCCAUUUUCGUGAGUUUCUAUUCUUGGCUUUGGGCUUUUGGAUGACCCAUCUUCACUUCUUGGACCUAUGCCGCACCUAGGCCUUGUUCACAUGCAAAAAUCUGAUUAUAAACCCUAAGCCUAGUCCAUUAAGGUAGCCGCACCUAACCCUAGCCCAAUCUGAUUUCUUAGGGUUUUAGGUGCCUAUAUAUAUAUGUUUUACCCCUUAGCCGCACUAUUCACCUCCCAUUCUAAAAAUUAGAAAUCGCCACCACCCAUUGCAGCAACCUUUCCCACCUUUUGCCGCAGCUUCCCUCCAUUCCAGCACCAUUCCACACAUCCAUACACCAUUCUCCACCUCCAUAAACCAUUCCCACACCUUGCCGCACCACCAUACUAUCCUAUCUACCUUUCAAAACCCAAAAACACAUCCAGAAAACUCCAUUCACGCCAGAACCUGUCCCUCACCUUUGCCGAGCCCAACCUUCACCCAACUCCAUAUUUUCUGACCCCAAACCUUCCUAGCCGUGCCCUACACCCAUCCUAGACAUUUUUCCACCAUUCUCCCUCGUCCAAAGUCAUCCAAAACUACCCAAAAAUCCCCUAAACCCUCUCUGCCGCAGCAAGGAGAAGAAGAAAGAGGAGCUUGCUGUGCAGAAUUCAAAGUGGAAUUCUUUGGCAUUUUAGGUGUAAUCUUUCUUAUGUCUUCGAUGUUUCAAUUCAAUAAACUUGGUGUUGUGAGUAUGAGGAACUAAACCCCCUUAGUUGGGGGGUGAUUCGAAACCAUGUACAUGCUUGCAAUUUGAU
rnacentral:lncRNA from 1 species